rnacentral:rRNA from 1 species
UACGUAGGGUCCGAGCGUUGUCCGGAAUUACUGGGCGUAAAGAGCUCGUAGGUGGUUUGUCGCGUUGUUUCGUGAAAACUCACAGCUCAACUGUGGGCGUGCGGGCGGAUACGGGCAGACUUGAGUAUCUGCAGGGGAGACUGGAAUUCCUGGUGUAGCGGUGGAAUGCGCAGAUAUCAGGAGGAACACCAGUGGCGAAAGCGGCUUCUGGUCCUUAACUGACACUGAUGCGCGAAAGCAUGGGGAGC